ensembl:lncRNA
GUGCCAUCUUCGGUAAGCCAGGCAGAUGUCAUUUUGGUCAACAGACUCCCUAAGGUCAGAACCUUCAUCUCAUCCCCAGUCUUGGCAUCGCCUCCAGAAAACCUUGGAGGAGGAAUUUAAUAUUGAUCAGAGGUGGGCUUUCAUACAAACAUAGGAACUUGGACAUAGGGGACUAUCUCUCCAGUACCGUGAUGGAAGCUGGGCUGCUGGGUCUCCCUGAAGGUGGUGUCGGUUCCAUGAAGCCCUCCAAAGUUGGCUGGGCUACUGGGAAGUGGUGGCCCCUGUCACACCAGUCUUUCCUCGUGCAUAGGCCACAAAGCAAGCCAUCUCUUCAAGGACCAUGACUGAGGCUGGAAGCAGUGUCUCUCCCCCAGGCAGCAUCACCUCCAGAAAAGCCCCCAGAGGAUGCACGUAAAAGGCCUUGUUGCAAGAUUCGGACAUCAGACACGGGCCCCAGGGGUGACCGCAGAGUAGGGCCACAGCUAAACCCAGUGCCCUCUUCCCUCACGUUGGCAACACCUCCGGGGUGCCCUCCGAGGACGGAUUGGAUACUGAGAGUUAGUGGACCAUGUUACAUAGGUCAGAAAUCACACAGCCUACGUUCCAUAGUCUACCAUCUCUGCAGGAACCGUGGAGUGGUGCUGACCCCAGAAUCAGGGCUUGUCCCUGAAGUUGGUGUCGCUUCCAGGCUUAAGAUUUCUGAGGCCCCAUUUGGCAUUAGGAAGCAGGCACGUGGGGAACACAAACUGCUCCCCUCAAAUGUGGGGGAGCAGUUCUGAUAGGGAAGACGUGCCCCCUCCUGAACCAGCAUCUCCUGUAGGAAGGCCACGCCCACUCAGAAAGCCCGAGAAGAGACAAACCACACAGCACUGACUGUGCUUAGGCCACUGCACGGUCAACGGUGUCUUAAUCACAAGAAGGGGCAGAACAGGGAGCUCUAAGAGCAGAGCUCGUUUGUGAAAGGGGGCCCUUGACCUCUGGGCAAUGACCCACGUGAGCUCACCCAGGCUCUGAGAGUCCUCGCCACAUGCCACACCACCCUUGUAGACUUGCGCCACAGGGCUGGGUGUGAAAUGGGCUCUUCGUUCUCCUGCUCAACACCUCCACCUCCUCCCCGAGGUCUUCCCUGGGUCUCUCCAUCCCCUCUCAUAGCCCAACUGACAAUACAACCACCCUGGAUGAAUGGGAGGCACAGUCUCGAAGCCCACUGCAUGGCACCCCCUGCUCACAGCCCAGCUGUUGAAGACCGAACUGCCUGGAACCGUAUUCAAGGCGUCAGCCUUUGUCCCCAUCCUCAUCCCUGGGCCCCCUGAGCCCUGAUCCCACCCUCCAGCUCCAACCUUCGCAUCCCCUGGCGCUGCAGGGGGCAGGCUCAGCAGCCCCCUGCCCACGUGGUCAAAGAAACAAGCUCAUGUUUAUCAAACACCCAUGAGCUGCUGGAACUGUGAAUAAAACAUGAUCUCUGUCCUCUGGAGCUUCUAGGCUAUCAGGGGAGAGUCACGUGGAAAUAAUUAAUGCAGAGCAUUGAUUUCAAAAUUAAAAGGGGCCAAACUGUGAAAAACCAGGGACGUUUAAGAAGAAGGUCUGACCGCUUUAGAGAAAGCUUCUUAGAAGAAGGAUAAAGUAAAAGGUGAAGGAUGAGGAAGCUAAGCCAGGAAGAGAAACAAGAGAGGACCAUGCAGGACUGAAGCAGAGGAGUGGACGCAGUGUGGACUAGAGGUGUCUCAUGGACCAGAAGGAGCAUGAGCCAGAUCAAAGGCUCCUGGACCAGACAGGUGGAGCAAGGGCUGGAUGGAGCACGGUAAGCAAAAGAGCAUCUAUGUGAAUGGUACGUGGAGAGCCAGAGAUGUGCAGAGACCAAGCCAGGUGACGUCUAGAUCAUUUAGAGCCUUGCAGCAAAGCUUAAAGAUUACGGAUUUUAUCCUCAAGCCAAGAGAAAGAACUGAUAAAGAACUUGAGUUUGGCAUUUUUAUACGUUAUCUCUUGCAAAUGGGAAAAGAAACUGCUGAUAUAGGAGUCUCAAAGAAGAGAGUGGUGCCCGGGACAGAGAAGGAGCCACGGACAUGGAGGCAAGUGGGAUGUUUGGGAAGAGUUAGGAAGAAGAGUGGAAGAGACACGACUGUAGCCCUCCGGGCUCCUCUGUCCAUGGGAUUUUCCAGGAAAGACACUGGAGUGAGCUGCCACGCCCUCCUCCAGGGGAACUUCCCAACCCGGGGAUCAAACCUGCCUCUCCUGCACUGAAGGUGGAUCCUUACAACUGAGCGACUAGGG